CUACGGGAGGCAGCAGUCGGGAAUAUUGGACAAUGGGGGCAACCCUGAUCCAGCCAUGCCGCGUGAGUGAAGAAGGCCUUCGGGUUGUAAAGCUCUUUCGGCCGGGAAGAAAUCGCACAGGCUAAUACCUUGUGUGGAUGACGGUACCGGAAUAAGAAGCACCGGCUAACUACGUGCCAGCAGCCGCGGUAAUACGUAGGGUGCGAGCGUUAAUCGGAAUUACUGGGCGUAAAGCGUGCGCAGGCGGUUUUGUAAGACAGAUGUGAAAUCCCCGGGCUCAACCUGGGAACUGCAUUUGUGACUGCAAGGCUAGAGUAUGGCAGAGGGGGGUGGAAUUCCACGUGUAGCAGUGAAAUGCGUAGAGAUGUGGAGGAACACCGAUGGCGAAGGCAGCCCCCUGGGCCAAUACUGACGCUCAUGCACGAAAGCGUGGGGAGCAAACAGGAUUAGAUACCCCAGUAGUCC
rnacentral:rRNA from 1 species